rnacentral:pre_miRNA from 13 species
UCUACCCGAGCCCCUCUGCCGCCGGCGGCUGGGGUUCCUGGUGAUGCGAUUUUCUUGUGCUCGCCAAAAUCACAUUGCCAGGGAUUUCCAACUGGCGGCGUGCCCAGCUGGCAGGAGUGC